UAGAAUAUAUUUUAAUUAAAAUAUUAAUUUUGGAGAUUAAAGAUAUAUUUAUAUUAUUCUGA
rnacentral:tRNA from 1 species